GUGGAAUUUGGAAUAAAGCCUCUGAAGUGGAUUCUAUGGUAGGCAGCAACAUGUACAACUAAUAAUAAGGUGACAGCCCCUGGUUAUAAAAUCCUGUGCCUCUGUUACUGUUUCUGAUUUGCCCUUGAGCUGUCCUGUGGUAAUGCACAAUCGUUUGAGGAAUGCCUCUUGUCUCACAGUGGUCAAACCACCCUCACCUGUGACCUGUCCUCAUGAGAAGCUCACUCAGGCCAGGCCCUAGUCACAGGUGUGAAAUGUAUGUCUCCUGGAAAGAAAGACCACCAUUCUUGGGUUUCUCGUGCUCUGACACAUCCUGCUGGACAGAAGACUCUAAUGGCUCUUUAACUGGGCCAGUGCUCAGUGUUGCAUGUGAGGCUGGCAACCUUAAGUCAUAAGGUUACAUCUUUCACCAGACAGUGAGCAGGCUGGCUGAGUUCUCCAAACUGUGUCCCUCAGCUGUGUUAUAAGGUAUCCUGCUGUGUGCACAGUAUCCAUCAGGGUCCAUGAGACUUAGGGAGGCAAGGGAACCAAUGAAAAUACAUGGUACUAAUGCUACUUGCUGUGCUGUAAUAAGGUCUACUGUCUUUGACCCAGGAAAGUGCUUUCUGUGAACACCCAUGACAUAGUAAUAAGCUGAUUGGCUUGUGCAUAAGGUAAAAUCCCAGACCCCAUGCCUCUCCUUUCCCAAGGUAUUAUAUCGAGAAUAUGUCUGCACUCAGUACCAACCCAUAUGGUCCGAUACUCAUUCUUUUGAGUUUCCUUCCAGAAAGAUUCCAUUAAACAAGGAUGUGCCAGCACAGUAGUGCCCGAGAGCUAUACAUCCAGGGGCUGUCAUACAUAGUCUUGAGGACUGAAGCAAGAGCAGG
rnacentral:lncRNA from 1 species